AAUCCGUUGUGCGGGCAUUUUUUAAUCAACAUCUUGAAACAUUCCCACACCUCAUAAAAACUUUCUCCCUCCAUCUAUCUGAAGAUAGCGAUCUCUCUUCUUAGUUG
rfam:Gossypium raimondii Chr06_contig_787, whole genome shotgun sequence.